GAGCGGCGGACGGGUGAGUAACGCGUAGGAAUCUACCUAGUAGAGGGGGACAACAUGUGGAAACGCAUGCUAAUACCGCAUACGCCUUUAGGGGGAAAGCAGGGGAUCUUAGGACCUUGCGCUAUUAGAUGAGCCUGCGUAAGAUUAGCUUGUUGGUGAGGUAAAAGCUCACCAAGGCGACGAUCUUUAGCUGGUCUGAGAGGAUGAUCAGCCACACUGGGACUGAGACACGGCCCAGACUCC
rnacentral:rRNA from 1 species